AUCAAUAAGCGGAGGAAAAGAAACCAACAGGGAUUGCCCUAGUAACGGCGAGUGAAGCGGCAACAGCUCAAAUUUGAAAUCUGGCCCUUGGGUCCGAAUUGUAAUUUGUAGAGGAUGAUUUUGGUGCGGUACCUUCCGAGUUCCUUGGAACAGGACGCCUUAGAGGGUGAGAGCCCCGUACGGUUGGAUGCCUAGCCUUUGUAAAUCUCCUUCGACGAGUCGAGUAGUUUGGGAAUGCUGCUCUAAAUGGGAGGUAAAUUUCUUCUAAAGCUAAAUACUGGCCAGAGACCGAUAGCGCACAAGUAGAGUGAUCGAAAGAUGAAAAGCACUUUGAAAAGAGGGUUAAAUAGCACGUGAAAUUGUUGAAAGGGAAGGAUUUAUGACCAGACUUUUUCUGGGCGGAUCAUCCGGUGUUCUCACCGGUGCACUUCGCCCAGUUUAGGCCAGCAUCGGUUUUCGGUGGGGGAUAAAAGCUUUAGGAAUGUGGCUCUUUCGGGAGUGUUAUAGCCUAUUGUAUAAUACCCUACUGGGGACCGAGGUACGCGCUUCUGCAAGGAUGCUGGCGUAAUGGUUAUCAAUCACCCGUCUUGAAACACGGACCAAGGAGUCGAACAUUUGUGCAAGUGUUUGGGUGUUAAACCCUCACGCGUAAUGAAAGUGAACGGAGGUGAGAGCCCUUACGGGUGCAUCAUCGACCGAUCCUGAUGUUUUCGGAUGGAUUUGAGUAAGAGCAUAACUGUUCGGACCCGAAAGAUGGUGAACUAUGCGUGGAUAGGGUGAAGCCAGAGGAAACUCUGGUGGAGGCUCGCAGCGGUUCUGACGUGCAAAUCGAUCGUCAAAUCUGCGCAUGGGGGCGAAAGACUAAUCGAACCAUCUAGUAGCUGGUUAC
rnacentral:rRNA from 1 species